GCUCGCGUCGGUCGGGACGUCAGGGGAAACGACUGGGGCUGGUAAAAUUUUCCAUUCGUCCGUACUUUUCGAUGUCACUCGGUAUUUAACAAGAAAUCAAUGGUGGAAUCGUGAAUAGUUCUCAUUGCUCUACUCCUUUAUCUAAGAGCUAAUUCCUCGCGUGGCAUCUUCCACAGAGUGAGGACUAUAAUAAUGGAUAAUCUAAUUGUAAGCUAUUUACGCUCCGUGCAAUGGGAGCCGGGCGCCUUGGAAAAUAGUACGGUAACCUCUCUUCUCUGUUAUCGUGUUGCUUGUUAAGUUCACUGAUGAAGUGAGUGCUACUUCUCCAGCAUGCUGGGUAACGUUCCUGAAAAUAAUAGUUUAACUUGCCCAUGAAAGAAUCAACUAUGAAGGAAACUUUACACAAGAGGAUAGGAGCUGAGUGAGUCCUGCCUGUUUUUCUACUUGCCUCCCUGCUUUAACGCAAACGUGGCUGCUUGCUCUGAAAACGACUGGAGUCCGCACGGGGACCGACAAAUGCCUAAAGUUUUCAUAAAACGGAAGAACGAAAGGGAGAAACGAGGAGGAAAAGAUUGACCCGUCUCACCGCACGUUAUGCGUACGUGGAUAUGCACAUUUCGAAGUGGAUAGUUCGUUCGUGUACCGCAGUCUCUGGAGUACAUAAGGAAUUCCGCGUGAAACGGAGUCCCUGGACGAAGGACGGACCAGUUUCUUGGCCGCGCAACCUGCUGUUAUGCUCCUGUGGAAGGCAGGGCCGGUUUUACAGGUUGAAGUCGGCUCAGGUAUUAUGCUGUUAUUAUUGUUAUUCUACGAGGUUACAUGAGUGGGGCCCCCUUAGGGGUCCCGAGGACGCCCCUGUAACACAAGCCAAUAUAAUGGUCCUUAAAGAGAAUCUGAGAAGGAGAGGCUGGAUAAUCGGUUAUGAUCAGAGUCGUGUAUUCUGUAGCGAGAAUUACUUGUGACUGCAACUCAUCUUGAUUUGUUUUCUUUUGCAUAAAAAAAAAUAUAAAGGAGUAAGAUAUGAUUAAGACGCAUGGGAGAGGAAUAAAACUUGUUUAUGAUCCCGAAACUGUGUGGUGAGAAUGGUCGAACGCGGCUCCCUGUGCUUCCCUUUUCAUUUAUUUAUUUUGUGCUAUUUGGAAAGCCAACGAGAUUGCUCAAUUUUUAAAAUUGAUCUUCGGUCAGACAGUCCCUUGGGCUGCUCAGAAAUUCAGACUCUAACAAUAGUUUAGUCCAAUGGCGCAGGAGCCAAUAAAUUGUAUUGAUGUGCUUUUUGCGAUAUCAUGAACUUAGGAAUGGCAAAGGCGUGUCAAGGCUUUUACCAGGGAGUUGGAAUAUUAGUAUGUAAAUUGGAAACGUGGAAGCAGCAGAGGGAGAAGACAGAGGAACGAACGGACAAGGAUGCAGAAGAGAAUCGCCCGUGUAGGUAGGUGUAGGUAGGUAGAUGCGUUGGGUGCGCACAGGAGUCAAUGACUAUGGCGCAAUGAUGAAGCUAUAAUAAAAAGCAAAAGAGACAGGAGGAGGAAAGCCGAGACUGAAGCUGGCGAGUGGAAGUUUUUAGAAAAUGUAAAAUGAAAAACGAAGGAUUUGAGAUCGGCGUCGAUCGCGUAUCGUCGACGCACACGCCGCGUAAAUGGAUACGCGGCAACCGCAAGCUGCAUAGAGCAUCAGAUCCGCGCUGCACGAUUGAACGUUAUUGAGCUGCUCGAUAGAUGGGUAGAUGGGUAGAUGGACAGAUAGCGAGACACAUACAGACUAGACGGAUAAAUAACCUAUACAACUGCAAUUGGUGUGAUAUCUCGACGAAAUUUUUAGACUGUGUGUCUCUACACGUAUAGGGAGGCUGCCAACGUUUUUAUUCUUGUAUUUUUUGUUGCGCUUUUUUAAUUUCAAAAUUGCUCUGUGCAUGCAAAGUUCCACCAGUCGCAGGAUUGGUGUUAACCGCCGCCAAUAUACUGUGCAAUCUCUCUACGUGAUGGAGAGGCAUUCCAAUAUAAAUCCCCUGGAAUUAUUAUACCACUCUCGGAAAACUACGGGUCAGCACAAUGAUCUCACCCGACUUUGGAAUCCAUUUGGAUCACGGAUAUAGAGUACAUUAACAGGACUCGUGUAAAAUGGUGACUAGCUGGCUGACUGCUUGACUGACUGGGUGGCUGGCUCGUUUGUUUGUAUUUAUUCUGCUUGCUUUUGCGUCAAAUCAUUAUUGACCAAGCGCCGCGAGCUGCUGCGAUAUUAUUUGUUGAAUAUUGGUUUCUGACAAAAA